rnacentral:lncRNA from 1 species
UUCCUGCUGCCACGAGAAGAAGGAUGUGUUUGCUUCCCCUUUUGCCACGACCGACCGACCAUAAGUUUCCUGAGGCCACCCCAGACCUGCAGAAUUGGAUACUGGUUGUAGGAGAGCUGCCCAGUGUUUCUUCUCCUCCCACACACCCAGUUUUAAUGGAGUACUUAGAACCCUGUAAGUACCAGAUUGCAAAGAGAAGAAUGCUUGGGCCUCCUUGCACUGCAACCUUGAACUCCUGGGCAUUCGUUUCACAUGAGCAAGGCCCAUGUGAAGCAUACAUAAUGCAUGGAGAGAGUGAGAAGGUGGAAGGGUGAGGGAGCUAGCCAGCAAGACCCCACAGAUCCCUUCCCUAUAUGGAACUGGACAAUGGCCCUUUGGUCAUACCAACCAAUCAGAGGGAGUGAGGAAAAGAUGGAGCUAAAAGGAGUUACAUCCAUGUGCAUGAUCCUGUCUAGUAAUAAAAGUUUGUUAAUAAGUGUCUGGAAUUUAAUUAGUAACUCUACCCUGGAAAGCAAACUGGAAAGGGCGUGGGCCAGGAAAGGAAUGGUUAUUCUCUCUAGAAGCCUACAGUGGCUAAAACAUAACAAACCAACAAACAAAUAAGCACACAGAAGAGUGAAACUUCAAACUGAAAUUGAAAAAAAGUUCUUGGCAAGUUAAUGGCAAUUGAUUCAUGAUGGAUUAUUAACCCACAGAUAUGGCUUGGGACCUAUCUGAUUCAUUGAGGUUGACAUCAUGGAGGACACUAUACUCUCUCACAAAGAUGUGUACCUUCUUGAAGGGCUCACUAAAAAAACCAGAGUCUUCCACCUCCAGGCUCACUGCAAUUGAUGCAUAGAUAAAACAAAUGUCGGAUAGCCAUCCAAUGGAUUAGUAUGCCGCCAUAAAAAGGAAGCACUCACUACUGAUACAAGCUUCAGUGUGGAUGAAGACUGACAAUAUUGUUCAUUGAAAGACACCAGACACAAAAGAUCAUAUAUUGCAUGAUUCCAUUUCUAUAAAAUGUCCAGAAUAUGCAAAUCCAUAGAGACAGAAAAUCACUUAGUGGUUGGGAGGAAAUGGGGGAAGGUGAGAAUGCGGAGUGACUGCUAAUGGGUUUCUUUUUGGGGUAAUGAUAAUACUCUUGAAUUAGACAGUGGUAAGGAUUAAACAAACUUGUGAAUAUAUUAAAAACUUGCAUUGUGUACUUUCAAAGGGUGAAUUUUAUGGAAUGUGGAUAUCUCACUUUUUUUUAAAAUGAAAGAAUGAAAAAAGGUGGCUUCUGUCUCAUCUGGACUCCUACAAUUUUUUUUUUUUUGAGACGGAGUUUCGCAAAUUUAAUUAUUGAUAAAUAUACCUGAGAGAUCACUGCUUGCCAGCCCUGUACUGGCACUGAGUUACAUAAAGGAAUAAGACCGUCCGGGCGUGGUGGCUUACACCUGUAAUCCCAGAACUUUGGGGUGCCGAUGUGGGUGGAUUGCUUGAGCUUAGGAGUUUGAGACCAGUCUGGACAACAUGGUGAAACUCCGUCUCUAUCAAAAAAUACAAAAAAUUAGCUGGGUGUGGUGGUGUGGGUCUGUGGUCCCAACUACUCAGCUAACUUGGGAGACUGAGGUGGGAGGAUUGCUUCAGCUUGGGAGGAGGAGGUUGCAGUGAAUCGAGAUUAUGCCACUGCACUCCAGCCUGGGUGACAGGGUGAGAUUCGUCUCAAAAAAAAAAAAAAAAAAGGAAUAAAACCCAAGCCCGCACACACUUCAUAGGCUAAAGGGAGACAAAUAAGUAAAUGUUCUAUUAUAACCAAGGGUGAGCUGGGUGCGAUGGCCCAUGUCUCUAAUCCCAGCACUUUGGGAGGCUGAGGCUGGCAGAUCACCUGAGAUCGAGAGUUCGAGACCAGCCUGACCAACAUGGAGAAACCCCAUCUUGACUAAAGAUGCAAA